UGGGGCUCAAACCCAUGAACCACGAGAUCAUGACCUGAGCCGAAACCAAGAGUUGGACACUCAACCGACCGAGCCACGCAGGCGCCCCUCUCAGAUUCACUUCUCAGUGUUGUUAUGCCACCACAUUUAUUCAAUGACAGCCGAAGUGUCUUAACUUUAUCAUAAAUGCCAGUUGUCCCCUUCCCGGCUUCCUAUCUCAAGUGAGAAUCAUAAGGGUCGAAUGUUACUACCACACUAUUUUACUAGAAAUGCAGACAUACAGCGCAAUGCAAUGUGACAGGUUGUUUUCUUUCCUUUUUUCUUCAGCCUCUGUACAUCUGCUUAAGAGUGUUAUCUGGAUAAUGUUAUUUUUCAUUCUGCUUUAGUCAUGGUAUGUCAAAUGCGUUUGAAAUUCUAAGGACAAAAAUGCAGCCAUUCGUUGUUAAUUUCAUCCAUGUAUCCGUCCAUCUGCUCAUCCAUUUAUCCAUCCAUACGUUUACUUCAUCAUUUUUUCUUUGCAUUUCUUUACAAAACUCUUUUGGUUCAGAUCCUGUGCAGGGUGCUAAAUAAAAGACACAUUUUUUUCUGCUGAGCUCAGAGGGAGAGGCCAGAGUUGUAAAUACUGAUUACAGCAUAAAGCUGUGGGGAGGCCCCACCCAGCGUGGGCUUGGGCAGGAAGAUUCCAGUGAGGAGAUGAGAAAGCCAAGAGGAACAGCAAAGAGCAACAGCUUGUAGGCCCUUGGGUUGGGCUAUCCUCAGAAGGACAUAAGUGCCCUGUGUCUGGGGUACCCAGUGUCCAGAAGUAGCCUGUGAAAUGAGGCACAGCACCUGGCCAAGCUUAUCCCAUUUUUCCCUCCCGGCAGCCCUGAGAUCUGUUGCCAGGUGGGGCCGACCCGGGGGCGAGCAAGCUGCUGCUUAGAACCGGUUAGAACCGGUUAGAACCGAAGGGGAAAACUUUCCGUAGGCUGUUCAGGUAAUAGCGAAUCUUAAGAGGCCUCCCAUCCCACCUUUGCCCUGCUCCAAAAUGAAAAUGUAUUUAGGUCUGUUCCUGGGAAACAUCUUACACUGGCUCCCCAAGCUCUCCUAAGGGAAGUCGGAGCUGACCCCCCAGGCCAGGCAUCUGCGUGGGAGACCAGAUCCCUCCGCUCUAGGCCAACCGACAGCUGCUCAAGGUGAAUGGCCAACACCGGUCGUCGCUUCAUUAUUUGUGUGCGUCUCCUCCUGCCAUUGGAACUCCUUAAGGGCUGAAGUUUUUACUUCCUGUGCUUGUGUGCCGACCGUGCUGUGCUAGGCCUGGCACACAGGCCCUCAAUAAAAGUUGGGUUAAUGAA